GAAAGCUAAAAGUUAUAUGGGUAAUUUAAAAGAUAAAAAAAACCUAAAGGCUAUAGAAAUAAUACUGUAAUAAGUACUACUCUACUGCUGUAAAUAGAUGAAUCUAUACUAAUAGAGUAGUCAGUACUAAUAGAGUAGUAAUUUUCAACCCAUUCGUUCUAAUUUCUCUCUCCCUUUGUCUUCUCUAUUUAUUCUUUCAUUUCAGUCCAAUUCACGUUCACCUGCAAUUUGCUAAUGAUGAAUCUAAUUUUCCAAUUAAACAAAAAUGAAAAAUUUUCCCCAAUAAAUAUUACAUCUAUCAAUUUACAUUGCAACGGUAUAAAUGGAUUUUCAAUCUAUAUAGAGCAGUUAUGUGGGGAUUAAACAAUUGAAGCAAUCAAGCAAAUAAUCUGAUUAAGGUGGAGAUAAAUAAAAGUGGAGUUAAAUAUAGCAAGGGAAGAUCUGAAAGUUCAAAGCUUUGUGGGAAGAUCGAAGAUCUCAUAUGUUCAAAGCUUGGUAAUUGUUUUUUCUUUUUUAGAAUAUUAAUAUUUUUUCAAGAGGAUUACAAAUAUAAAAUUGGAUAUUGAUAAUCUAUCAGGUGCUUUUGUUUCUUUUUAAAUAUUUUAUAUACUUGCUCUAUUUUUAAAUGCUAUGUUGACUAGAAAGCAUUUGUCUGAGUCUCAAAAAAAAAAAAAAAAAGAAACGGGAAGAAGAGUUACAAAAAUCACAAGAAGGAGUUCUUGAUAAAUUUGUGAUUUUUGGGCCCCUAUAUUUAAUGGGCCCCAGGCAUUUGCACUUCCAAACAACCCUCAAAAUCGAGCCUGACGAUAUGUUAUAUUUUUAUUUUGCCUAAGACCCAAAAAUAUGCCAGUAACGGCAGUGUAUUUAAAAUGCUAUGAGAGACAACAAUUUUACAAAAGCUUAUUUUCCAAGUAUUUUACAUGAACUCAUUUCUUUAUAUAUGUUAGAAAUAGCUAAUGAAAAUUAAGUUCCAAUUUGUUGACCGAAUUAUUUUAAAAAAAGUCAACUCUAAUGAAUCUUUCUAAAUAAGAAUCAAUCUCUGAAUUGUUUAAAGAGGCCAAACACAGAUAACAGCUGUCAAGCUAGCAACUUCAACCAAUCAUUUUAAAAAAAAUAGCGGGUAAGUAAUUUUAGCUUAUUUUGAUGGAAAUAAAAAAUUUGAUAUUCAAACCAGUUUAUGCUAGUGUUUGAUAAACUAGCUAGUUGAAACAUCUUAUUAAUAUGAAUAAGUUGUUUUAGAACAAGCUGCUCAUAGCAGCGGGUUUAAAAUCAGCUAAUCAAACCAGUUAAUAAAAUCAAAAUCAGUCACUAUAGUUAACUAUUAGCUACCUCAGCACCUUCUCAUAUAUGCAUUGCUAGUAAGAUUGGUAUACAAAUAAAAAAGGGGUAAAUUUAUUAGGAUGCACUAAGAUAAAAAAAAGUUUAAGCAAAUCAAAUGGAAUAGAAUAAAUAACAAAAGAGGUGAAGAAAUAUAAGAUAAUUAAGUCUUCUUUUUUGAGUUUUCACCGAAAAUUAGUCAAAAAACUUAUUUUUGAUUUUUUCAAAUUGGUAUAGAUUUAACUCAAAUUUAGUGUUUGGCAAACAAGAAAAUUUAAAUUUUGAAUUUGAGUCAAAUCCACCAUUAUAAUAAAUGUGAAUAAUAUAAUUUUUUUAUAAUAAUAUUAAUUUUUAAUUAACUAUAAAUAAUACUAAUUUAAAGGAGUUUUUUCUAGAAUAAUACCAACUUUAGUUUAUUAGCUAAUUUACCAAUUUUUUUUGUCAUAUAAUCUCCUAUAGUUUUAUUUUUAACAUAUUAGAGAUAUUCUAGAAAAACACCCCAAAUUCAAUAUUAUUAAUGGUUAAUCAAAAGUUGGUAUUUAUAGGGAAAUAGGCAAAAAAUGGUAUUAUUCUUGACAAUUUUUUUUUAAUUUUUAAUUGGUUUGUUUAACUGAACUUGGGUUUUUUGAUUCUCGUUACCUACAGGUAGAAAAAGUUUUGUUUAACUGAACUUGGGUUUUUUAUUCUCGUUACCUACAGGUAGAAAAAGUGAUUUUAAAACUUUUUAAUUAAUUUGUUUAACUAAAUUUUGAACUUGCAUCUUAACAGUAAGUGGUUAAUUUUAAAAACUAAUUUGUGCUAAAUAUUUCAAUUUGGAUGUUAUUCUAUUAUAUGAUCUGGAUUUUUACUGAAAUAAAUUUCAACUCCUAAAUUAACUCAUGAUUAUCAGUAGUUGAAUGUUCUUAUAAAUUAUUACUUUUAAUUUGUAUCCCAUAUUGUGUAGCAUACAUGCAGUAAUAUCAUUGAUGUGCAUACAUUCAUUAACUAGAAAACAAACCUCCUCCUCUAAUUGGAAGCAAUGAUUACAAGGAUAAUAAAGCUAACAGUAAAGAGUCCUUGCAAUAUAGCCUUGACAUAAUUAAAUCGGCAACAAUGAACUUCUCCGAUGAGAAUAUACUUGGUGAAGGAGGAUUUGGAGCUGUUUAUAAGGUACUUUCGACCAUUCGUAAAAAAAAUAUAGAAGUAUUAUAUAAUUUUCGACCAUUCGUAAAAAAUUAUUUAAACAUUUUCUACUAACAAGGAUGUUAUAAUAUUUUAUACUAAUUGAGCAAAUAAAUAUUUGAAAAACAUUCAAGUUCUUAUUACAAAAUAUUUAUUAAGUCUUUUAAUUUUUAAAUUAUAGAUACAACAACCACGUUUCAAAUUGCAUAAACUGACAAAGGUCAAAAUCACCUAAUGUUUAGAAAUAUAAAAGAAAAUUCCAAAUCAAAUAAUUAAUUACUCACGAUAGCUAAUAUAUAAUUUUAAAAAAGAUGUAAAUGGGUCAUGGGUCGGAUCUGAGUCUCAAACGUGUGGACCCGGACCGGAUCGGACCUAAACCCUAAGGUCAUGAUUCAUGAACCCAGAUCCGACCCAGCUCCAUAAUAUCAAAAAAUCGGUGGAUCUAGACCCUUAAAUUAGGGUCGAGUCGAAUCUAAACCCUUAGAGUCCGACCCAUGCCCAUCCCUAGUCAUGAUGCAUCUUUUGUAAAAAAGCUCCGAUCUUCAACUAUGUUUUUCUUCAUAAUUUUAUUACUAUCUAUUAUCACAUUUUGCAAGUGGUAAUAGAUCAUGAGUAUUUAAUACAUGGAGCUACAACCAUGCAUCAACUCAAGAUAUUGGCCGGCUAGCUUGGUUCUUUGAUAUGGUUUCAGAUGCUAACGGUACAGACCCUCAUUAUUACAAGUAUGAUAUUUGGCAUAACGGAUGAGGGUAGCAUAGCCCAAAGGCUCUUAUGUGAUGAGUGUGACAGAGUAUACAUUUUUAUUAUCAUUUUCACUUUUUGAUACCAACUGAAAAGGCCAUAUAAGAGUGUUGUUAGAAAUGGAAAAAUGGAAAUUUGGCAUCAACAAUGUAACCAUUAAUUCACUUGUCCGAUGUGUUGGAAAAAUAACACAUAUAUCAUCCCACAUCGUAAAAUUAAAGAGAGAUUGACUAACAUAUAAGCGUAAAGGGCUAUUCUAUUACCAAUCGGUUUAAUUAGGAUGAAAGGUCAUCGGCUUGUGUGCAGGUCAUUUUCCUCUUGUUUGGAUAUUGUUGUGUACAGGUUUUAUGACAAAUUUAUUAGUGAGAAUAAUUUUAUAUUUGGAUUUUUUUAAUAAUUCAACCUUCACCUUUAGUCUGUUAUCAGCAUAAUUUUUAUUUUUCAAUAAUCCAAUAUUUGUCCUUAGUUUUCUAUCAACAUGCCUUAUAACUAUAUUGAUAGCAAGCUAAGGAAAAAAUUUUAAUUUUUUUGAAAAAAUUUUAAUUUUUAAAAAAAUAAUUCAAAUAUGAGAUUAUUCAUAGCGUAUGGAAGAAAAGUUUGAGUAUUAAUGUUAAUUUUUCAUUUAAAAAUUGAUGUAGUAGUCUCUAUUCUGAAUAUACAGGGCAGGCUUAAAGAUGGGCAACAAGGUGUUAAGAGGCUCUCAGAAGACUCUCGUCAAGGUCACAGAUAAUUUAGCACUGAAGUCCAAUUAGUACCAAAUCUACAACACAGAAACUUAGUCAAACUCCUCAGAUUUUGCUUAGAAGGAGAAGAAACGUUACUUGUUUAUGAAUUUGUACCCAACUUAAGUUUGGACAGAUUUCUAUUUGAUCCAAUUAAGCGUACGUAUUUGGACUGGGAAACACGGCUUAAAAUCAUUCUAGGAAUUUCGAGAGGACCAAUUUACCUUCAUGAAGAUUCUCGUCUCAAAAUUGUGCAUAGGGACUUGAAGGUAGGGAUAGUCAUGGGUGCAGGAUUCUGUUGGACCCGUCUCAGAUUCGCCCCUUUUUUAAAGGUCUGGGUCUUAUUUUUUGAGACCCAUUGGAUUCGGGUAGGAUCUGGAUCCAGGAAAUAUUUGACGGGUCCGAGUUCGGAUCUCAAGGUGCAGACCCGGACCCAGACCCGACCUCGAGACCCAGCCCUUAGACUGGCCCCUCAAACUUGGACUCGGACCCUAUACAAUUAAAUAUUUUUUUUACUUUUUAGUAAUUAUUUUGUAUUUGAAUUUCAUGAAAUCGAACAAAUGUUUGUAAUACGAUAAUAAGUUGUUUACAAAAAUACAAAAAGACUCGAAAAAGGUUCAAUUUUGACAAUCAAAGAGAUUUUGUUUAAGACCCAUUAAGGACUCAUCAAAGACCCUAGACCCGUCAAAUCUGGGGGGUCUGGGUCUAGGUCUGAAAAUUUUGGACCCUUAGGGUCCGGAUUCGAGUCUGGAUCUAUAAAAAAUAAAAGGGUCCGGCUCCGGGUUUUCGGGUCUGGCCAGACCCGCUCUAGACCCGCCACAUGACCAUCCACAAGCAAAUGCUAGCAAAAUUUUUGGAACAUUGUAAGCUCUAUAUUCUUUUCAUUUCUUGUUUGAUUAUUGAAAAUGAUGCUAUAUUAGAGUUUAAACAAUGUCUUUCAAACUUCAAAAUUACCAAGAUCGAGUGUAUGAAGUCUUGUGACGAACAAAUUACACUUUCAAUGAAAACGAUGUUUGUAAGCGAAACUAAUGUAAUAGAAUGACACAAAGAUUUAAUAAGGUUCACCCAAUUAAGGUUAUGUCCUCCGGUGUGUAGUAUCUCACUUAUAUUAUCACAAAGGAGUUUAAAUAACUCUCCAUGGAGAAUUACAAUAGAGAAUAGACU